UACGUAGGGUGCGAGCGUUGUCCGGAAUUAUUGGGCGUAAAGGGCUCGUAGGCGGUUUGUCGCGUCGGGGAGUGAAAACUCAGGGCUUAACCCUGAGCCUGCUUCCGAUACGGGCAGACUAGAGGUAUGCAGGGGGAGAACGGAAUUCCUGGUGUAGCGGUGAAAAUGCGCAGAUAUCAGGAGGAACACCGGUGGCGAAGGCGGUUCUCUGGGCAUUACCUGACGCUGAGGAGCGAAAGUGUGGGGGAGCGAACAGG
rnacentral:rRNA from 1 species